AGCAGCCGCGGUAAUUCCAGCUCCAAUAGCGUAUAUUAAAGUUGUUGCAGUUAAAAAGCUCGUAGUUGAAUUUCGGGAUCAGUACGCUGGUCGUGCCUUUGGUAUGCACUGGUGUCACUGGUUCCUCCCUUCUGAAGAACUGUCAUGCCAUUAAUUUGGUGUGGCGGGGAAUCAGGACUGUUACUUUGAAAAAAUUGAGUGUUUAGAGCAGGCUCGCGCUUGAAUACAUUAGCAUGGAAUAAUGAAAUGGACGUUUGAUCCUAUUUUGUUGGUUUCUAGGAUCGACGUAAUGAUUAAUAGGGAUAGUUGGGGGCAUUAGUAUUCAAUUGUCAGAGGUGAAAUUCUUGGAUUUGUUGAAGACUAACUACUGCGAAAGCAUUUGCCAAGGAUGUUUUCAUUAAUCAAGAACGAAAGUUAGGGGAUCGAAGACGAAUCAGAUACCGU
rnacentral:rRNA from 1 species